AUCCCAUGAUGAGGGCAUUCUGAUAUGUAAUCUUGGAAGCGUUCUUGUGCCUCAGGGACAAAAUCUUCAUACUAUUGCUAGAACAUUGAGAUUUUUGCACAUAAGGCA
rnacentral:snoRNA from 1 species